rnacentral:rRNA from 1 species
UACGAAGGGGGCUAGCGUUGCUCGGAAUCACUGGGCGUAAAGGGUGCGUAGGCUGGUUCUUAAGUCAGGGGUGAAAUCCUGGAGCUCAACUCCAGAACUGCCUUUGAUACUGGCGAUCUUGAGUCCGGGAGAGGUGAGUGGAACUGCGAGUGUAGAGGUGAAAUUCGUAGAUAUUCGCAAGAACACCAGUGGCGAAGGCGGCUCACUGGCCCGGUACUGACGCUGAGGUGCGAAAGCGUGGGGAGCAAACAGG